rnacentral:rRNA from 1 species
UACGGAGGGUGCAAGCGUUAUCCGGAUUCACUGGGUUUAAAGGGUGCGUAGGUGGGCAGGUAAGUCAGUGGUGAAAUCUCCGGGCUUAACUCGGAAACUGCCAUUGAUACUAUCUGUCUUGAAUACCGUGGAGGUCAGCGGAAUAUGUCAUGUAGCGGUGAAAUGCUUAGAUAUGACAUAGAACACCAAUUGCGAAGGCAGCUGGCUACACGAAUAUUGACACUGAUGCACGAAAGCGUUGGGGAUCAAACAGG